rnacentral:lncRNA from 1 species
CUGCUGCCAAGGAUAACUGAGUUCAGCAUAGAGCAUAUAGAUUAAGGAUAUACCAAAAGCAAGGUAUAGUUGUUCCCAAGAUAACUGACCUACAACUUUACUACAAAGCAUAAAGGCAAAAAGUGUACCAAAAGCAAGGGAUGGUGCUUGCUCAGAACAACUGAUUUGAACUCUAUUGCAUCAAGUUCAGUACAAAGUGUAAAGAAAUAUGGCCAAGUAGUUCAUAAACAUAAUGAGAUACGACAAUUGGGAACAAAGCUCUAGAAAUAUAGACAAUAAUAAGCCAUUUGUCUUUGUUAAUGAAAGAACAUCUAUGUUAGCUUAUAGUUGACCAUUACUGAGUACUCCUACUUCCUCCUUCCAAGUGAAAAGGGUAUAUUCUGAGGCGAAUCUAAUGCAAAUAGUAGUGGCCAAUACUUGAGCGACUUUAUCUUGCUAAUGAUAAUAUGGAAUAUCUGCAAAAUAACAGAAUUAGCUGAUGAACCUAGGCACUAUGCAAGCUAUACAAAAUUCAUAAAUGGCAUACUGAGAUUGAACGCAAAUUAGUAACAUUGUGCCAGUAGAGUAAAGUGCAGAAGAUGGUACUUCACAAUUGAGAGAUCCAAAUGAAUAUUGCAACAGAACAAAGACGGUGCCUGCAAGAAACAAUGAUGUAGGUGAGAGUAACAUAUCAGUAACUUGAUACUUCGGCAGCAAAAACGGGUGAUAUAAAUCGUGUCCAUCCAAAGGAAAUUACAAUACUGUGACAGGACCAAUGAGUUUAGUAUAGAUAACAAAGAGCAUAGAUAUAUUAAAAGCAAAGAAAUUAAGUAUAUUCAAUCAAUGAUAUAAUUAAUUUGCAGGCUGAUGACAAAAUUUGUUACAAAAUCCAAAGCGGUAGUGCCAUGAAAAACUGGUUCGCAUCAAGUUCAAUCAAAUCAUAAAUAUUCAAGAUAUCAAAGUUGGAAUGUUAAUCUCCAAAUUCCAGAACCAUACAUCAUCGACAACAUUAUAGACCGGUAGUGUGCCUUGGUGCACCUGUUACGUCCAUCCCAUUGGUCUAGCGUGUCAAACCCAAUACGAUGCCAAAUACAAAACAAAAAAGUUUGUAUAGCAUGACCAGACGAAAGGAGAGUAGAUGCCCUUUACGGAAUUUUUUUUGCAUAUUUAAUCACUCAACAAACCAGCAUAUAGAUCCUUGGUUGCCAUGUUUUUUAACACAAUUGAGCCCAGAACCAAAGAAAAACUGGUGGAAGGAAUCUGAAGAGGGCCAUUGGGCCAGGUUAGAAAUGGUAGACAACUGACCAUCAGGAAAGCAAAUAGAAAAACAAUAAUAAUAAGUUAUUUCAAGAUAAAAGUCCCGAUUUAUGUUGUUUGGACAUAUAGACAUGUGUAAUAGUUUUCCCUUUUCUCUCUUGACUCUCUUAAAAAGCUUGUGCAUUCAUAUAGUUAUAAGCCUAACUGAAUUAAUAUGCUAGUUAGAAAUUGGAUCAACGACACGCUGAAAUCAAAACAGGAAUAAAUCAUCCUAAGCAAGCACAAAACAAAUGAUCAUAUCAGGGCUUUGCCAACAUAUAACUAAGCAGACUGACCAGAAAAAGGAUAAUCAAAUUAGGGUAUGCUGACCAACAACCUUAAAUAGCGGCCAACCCAAAAUUAACAUAGAGUUGUGAGGCUAACCAUAAGAAAGAUUAGCUUUUCGUCGAAAACACAAACACAAGCACCCUGGCAAUAAAGAGAUUACACAAAUAUAUUACAAUGCAGGUUUGGCAUAACCAGCACAUACCAAGCAACAGUUCACCACUAUAACAUCAGUUUAAACUACUCGGCUCUCGGUGAAGCAUGGGAACAUUUAGAAACCCUAACACCCUAAGCAACAAAUGCAGAGAGCUCUCGAGCGAACACAAUUCAAUGUCAUUUCAAACUACAGGGGUCCCCAAGCACCACACUAUAUGCACUGCCACAACACUCAAAAAAUCUGAAUAAAGGUAUGCUCAUAGCCAUCAUGGGGUUGUUAAUUAGGGCACCACUAAUCUAUUCGAGAGAACAAUGUGCAUAGAUAAUUGUGAAGAAUUUAAGAUGUCCAGAAUGAAACCCACAUCUAUUAGAGAUGAACCUGCAUCAGUGGCUCGAGUAGCAGGUUGCGCCUCCUGGUGAAGAAGUGUCAGACAUGAGAACAACAAAGGAGGCCAAAAGCAUCACGGCUAUUUCUGAUGUUGACCUUCAAAAUUUCUGAGUGCUCAAUUCCAAAUCAAUUUUGAACUAACACGG